rnacentral:rRNA from 1 species
GACGAACGCUGGCGGCGUGCUUAACACAUGCAAGUCGAACGGAAAGGCCUGCUUUCUCUUGUGGAUUGCGGGUACUCGAGUGGCGAACGGGUGAGUAACACGUGAGUGAUCUGCCCCCAACUUGGGUAUAAGCCUGGGAAACUGGGUCUAAUUCUCGAUAGGACUGCAGGGUGGUGCCUGUGGUGGAGAACGAUUUUCUAGUGGUUGGGGAUAAGCUCGCGGCCUAUCAGCUUGUUGGUGGGGUAAUGGCCUACCAAGGCGGCGACGGGUAGCCGGCCUGGGAGGGUGGACGGGCACAUUGGGACUGGGAUACGGCCCAGACUGCUACGGGAGGCAGCAGUGGGGAAUAUUGGACAAUGGGCGGAAGCCUGAUGCAGCGACGCCGCGUGGGGGAUGACGGCCUGCGGGUUGUAAACUCCUUUCGACCGCGAGGAAGCCACCUGGUUGGAAGGGUGGUGACGGUAGUGGUAGAAGAAGCACCGGCUAACUACGUG